UAAAAAUCUUUUGAAGCUGAUGGUUUUAUAGAUUGCAAGUGAGAAGUAAGAAGCUUACCUUAACAACGUAUAGUGUUUGGCAAUAUGCAGUGCUUCUUUGCGGAUUCCAGAGUUGGGAGUGGAUCUUCAAGCAAUACUGUACUUUUCCUGUCUGAAAUUAUGGGAAUGUACUUUGUCUCUUCUAUACUACUGAUAAGAAAACGCUUAGCAACUGAGUACAGUUCAACUAGGGGAUAACAUCUGUUUCCGAAGCUUCUGGGAAGUCCUCAUGUUGAGCAUUUCAUUUUUAGAAGAAAGAGGGAAAACAAAAACUGUUACUGAAAUAAGACCACAUGCACUCAAUACUGGAUUAUUUAUUGUCAGACAUAAGUACAAAAAUGGUGUUACCAGACUAGAAUGUCAAUUGUUUUUGCAAGGUGAUGAUUCCUGACCCUGUUAGGCAAGUUUUUCCAGUAUUUCAGACAGCAAAUUCUUAAUAGAUGUGUAGAUCUUUUGUUCAUUCUCUUGAAAAUAUAAGUAAGUAUUGUUCUCUGGUUAAUUAACUUGCACAAUAUCGAUGUGUAUGUAGAUUUGUUUGUUUUCAGUUUACCACAAAUUUCGUACUAUGAAUUGUUAUGCUCUGCAUGUAACCACACAAUCUUUGACUUUGUUUGGAAUUGGAUGAUCGAAUCCUCUUAGUUUCUGAAAAUUUACCAAACCAAUCUUCUUUCUUAAUAAAUGCAAAGCUAAAAGAUUACAAGAAUGCAGAUUAAUUUGUGGCUACUUGUUAUUUAUUCUUUGCUUAACUGGGCUGCUUUCAAUCGUAUUUUUGAUUUUUUUGAACUGUUAUCCCUUGGCAGGAUAAUCAUAACAGAAGUCUAGGUGGAGAAAUUCAGUUUGACUUCUAUCACCGGUGUUUUGAUGCAAUCUUUGUAGCAAGUGCUUUCCUUUCACUGCUUUUGCUUUCUGCACAUUAUAAGUCUUGCCAGUCUUAUAAACACCCAAUCGAUUGAUGUAUACUUUGUGUAAGUAUGUGCUAAUUCAAUCAUUUCUUUUAUCCUGCGUUAUUCAUCUCAUCAAGCUGAUUAAAACCCUACUGUUUAUUGUUGGAUGACAGUUUUUAAGAAACUACAAAUUUGACAGUCAAGACAUUUAUGAAGCUACGGACUUCAAGUAGUGUCAUGAUCAUUUAUGCAUAACAUAUGCUUGGUGCCAUUGGAUUUAUGUAGUAGACUUGCAAUGAGAAGAGUUUGAAAAAUGCCAAAAUGCAUGGGACAAAUCUAUUGUUUUCUGUCAUCUCAUGUUUAAAGGAAGAGAGUGUUGUCUGACUGCUAACUGCCUAGGAUUCGCUCCAGCUUUAUCAUGAGCACACUAGCUUUCAGUAUCUCAUGUAUUCCUGAGGAUUACAAAAAUGACCUAAGCUAAAACAAACUUGAGGAACAGAGGAUAAUGGUGAAACAAGUCAAACUGAAUUCAGAUGCCCAUUGCUAUGUGAAUAUUUUACUGUGUUGGUGAUUUUAUCAUCCAUAAAUGGGAUAUUUAGCCAUACCAUCGGUUAUUCACUAUGUCAAAGGUUAGAUCAGUUAUCUACCUGAUUUUAAAUCACCCUCCGACCAUUUUCUUGGUUUCGUUCCCACCAUGCUAACCAAGAGAGAUUAGUAAUAGUUUUAGAAUCUCGAUGUGUUGGACCUACAGCCCCAAAAUGCAAGACGAGGCAAAACCGUGCUUUGAUUAUUUUUGGAGGAUAUCUGUUUCCGACAGAAAGGCCAUUACAGUGUCAGAAACAAAGGUCCAUAGUGGGAUGAUAUCUUGACGUGUAGACCUCAGCAGUUCGCAUGAAGUGGUUCUAAAAGUUUCUACUGUUCGAUCUUCAAUGACACCUAGAGAUGAGUCAUAGUAAAUUGAUGCAGUAGUGACUGGCAUGCAGGAUUCUACAGUAAACUUUGGGUUCUGUAAUAUGGCAGUUUGGUAUGUCAAGAUGACAUCGGCUGCUAGAUAUUAUACGGGUAGCGGGUUACUCUGGCAGAUUCCACCUUGAUGCUUUAUUGCUAAAGGGCAUAAAAGCCAAGGAUGUCUCUUGGAUUCUGCAUUAGCAAUGCACCACAACUUGUGUAAUUAGA